rnacentral:rRNA from 1 species
ACGUUAGCGGCGACGGGUGAGUAACACGUGGGUAACCUACCUAUAAGACUGGGAUAACUUCGGGAAACCGGAGCUAAUACCGGAUAAUAUUUCGAACCGCAUGGUUCGAUAGUGAAAGAUGGUUUUGCUAUCACUUAUAGAUGGACCCGCGCCGUAUUAGCUAGUUGGUAAGGUAACGGCUUACCAAGGCGACGAUACGUAGCCGACCUGAGAGGGUGAUCGGCCACACUGGAACUGAGACACGGUCCAGACUCCUACGGGAGGCAGCAGCC